GUUCCUUCUGGGAGUUAUUCAUACAGCGGUGUUCGCGCGACGAUGACUCUAAAAUAAUAUGUGAACCCAAUUGUUAUUGUGUGUGUGUGUGUGUGAAUUGCGUUUUCUGUUGGGUUUUUUUUUUUUUUUCUGAGCAUUGUUAAAUAAUUCUUACGCUACCCUAGCCCAAGGAAAUUAUAAAACACACCAUUGUGCAGUUGAUAUGCCUAUCAGUUAUAUCG